rnacentral:rRNA from 1 species
CCUACGGGUGGCAGCAGUGAGGAAUAUUGGUCAAUGGGCGCGAGCCUGAACCAGCCAAGUAGCGUGAAGGAUGACUGCCCUACGGGUUGUAAACUUCUUUUAUAAAGGAAUAAAGUGAGGCACGUGUGCCUUUUUGUAUGUGCUUUAUGAAUAAGUAUCGGCUAACUCCGUGCCAGCAGCCUCGGUAAUACGUAGGAUCCGAGCGUUAUCCGGAUUGAUUGGGUUUAAAGGGAGCGUAGAUGGUUUUUUACGUCAGUUGUGAAAGUUUGCGGCUCAACCGUAAAAUUGCAAUUGAUACUGGCAGUCUUGAGUACAGUUGAGGUAGGCGGAAUUCGUGGUGUAGCGGUGAAAUGCUUAGAUAUCACGAAGAACUCCGAUUGCGAAGGCAGCUUACUAAACUGCCACUGACAUUGAUGCUCGAAAGUGUGGGUAUCAAACAGGAUUAGAUACCCCUGUAGUC